rnacentral:snRNA from 1 species
UGUGAAGAUUAGCAUGGCCCCUGCGCAAGGUUGACACCCAAAUUUGUGAAGUGUUCCAUAUUUAA